UUCCGUUAGGGGCGACUUGUGACGUCAAGAUACAACAACAGAUGGACAACUCUAGCUGCCUCCAGGGCACUUGGUUAAAGGUCAUGAAGGACAUGGUGUAGUUUUUCAGCUCCUGGGAAAUAUGGAACAACGAAGGGCGAAGGGUACCCUGUCGGUUGCAGCACAUGUCUGUCUCCGGAGGAGGAGAUUACAGUUCCUUGCUGUGGCACGUCGGAACUGGUGGUCGAUGAGUUGGGCAUCGUACCCCGUUCUUGUGAGGGCAUCCCGGAGUACUUCCAGUUUGAGCUACAUGUCAAGCCCAGGGCAGCGGCCCUCCGGUGAGGUCCAAGUUGACACCUCCUUUGGUCACUCCUCUGCAGAUCCCGGUGAUGACUGUUCCAGUUUACCAGUGGGCUCAUUGGGAUCACCUUGCUGGCACCUUGAAAGAAUUCUCGGAGUCUCAUUCCAUUAUCUCACUUUUUAGAUUAGAAUCAAUCUAAACAUCAUGGCAUAGACAGAGACCACAGGGGGUUAACACCUUCAACAUAUUGUCUUACUAUCAUCCAUUGUUAACAGCUAACCUGAAAAUGCAACCUUUUAAAAAAAAGGUUUUGUGAUUUACACAUGAAAGAAGUGAAACUAUCACUGUAUUCAAACAGAUGAAAGGUUUAACAGACAAUCAAUUUUUCAGUGUAUAAUUUCAAUUACAUCACACUGUAAAUUUUUGCUAUAAAUUCUGUGUUAGGAUUGAGCCCU